UUGGUUUUUUUUUUUUCGUUCUCUCGCAUUCUCUCUCCGCUCGAUUCCUCUCCAAAUUUUCAAAAUUUAAUUCCAAUUUUUAAUAGUUUUAUUUGGUUUGAGGAAUUAGCAAUUCCUCAAAACCUGCAUGUGGCGUCGGUGAUCAAAUCCUCACGUUUCAAAAUGACGUGCUGCGGAGAAGAGGAGGAUAUAUAUAUGCUCAGCCUAUUAACCCGGCCGUUCCUCCACCAAAUCGACCGGGUAAAUCUCCUAAAUUAGAUUGGCGAUAUCUGUAGUUUAUUGCUGCCAAAAUUUUAAUUUUUUGUUGUUUGCUUCGCAACACGGUACUUGCGAAAUGUAAAUAGAUUUACGAUCUGUUGAAAAAAGUUCCGUGAAAUAUGAUUGAAACAAGCGAUCAA